ACGCUGGCGGCGUGCCUAAUACAUGCAAGUAGAACGCUGAAGGAGGAGCUUGCUCUUCUGGAUGAGUUGCGAACGGGUGAGUAACGCGUAGGUAACCUGCCUGGUAGCGGGGGAUAACUAUUGGAAACGAUAGCUAAUACCGCAUAACAGUAGAUGUUGCAUGACAUUUGCUUAAAAGGUGCAAUUGCAUCACUACCAGAUGGACCUGCGUUGUAUUAGCUAGUUGGUGGGGUAACGGCUCACCAAGGCGACGAUACAUAGCCGACCUGAGAGGGUGAUCGGCCACACUGGGACUGAGACACGGCCCAGACUCCUACGGGAGGCAGCAGUAGGGAAUCUUCGGCAAUGGACGGAAGUCUGACCGAGCAACGCCGCGUGAGUGAAGAAGGUUUUCGGAUCGUAAAGCUCUGUUGUAAGCGAAGAACGAGUGUGAGAGUGGAAAGUUCACGCUGUGACGGUAUCUUACCAGAAAGGGACGGCUAACUACGUGCCAGCAGCCGCGGUAAUACGUAGGUCCCGAGCGUUGUCCGGAUUUAUUGGGCGUAAAGCGAGCGCAGGCGGUUAGAUAAGUCUGAAGUUAAAGGCUGUGGCUUAACCAUAGUACGCUUUGGAAACUGUUUAACUUGAGUGCAAGAGGGGAGAGUGGAAUUCCAUGUGUAGCGGUGAAAUGCGUAGAUAUAUGGAGGAACACCGGUGGCGAAAGCGGCUCUCUGGCUUGUAACUGACGCUGAGGCUCGAAAGCGUGGGGAGCAAACAGGAUUAGAUACCCUGGUAGUCCACGCCGUAAACGAUGAGUGCUAGGUGUUAGACCCUUUCCGGGGUUUAGUGCCGCAGCUAACGCAUUAAGCACUCCGCCUGGGGAGUACGACCGCAAGGUUGAAACUCAAAGGAAUUGACGGGGGCCCGCACAAGCGGUGGAGCAUGUGGUUU
rnacentral:rRNA from 1 species